rnacentral:rRNA from 1 species
CCUACGGGUGGCAGCAGUGGGGAAUAUUGGACAAUGGGCGCAAGCCUGAUCCAGCAAUACCGCGUGUGUGAAGAAGGCCUGAGGGUUGUAAAGCACUUUUAAUAGGGAGGAACACCUGUAGGCUAAUACCCUGCAGUAUGACAUUACCUAUAGAAAAAGCACCGGCUAACUCCGUGCCAGCAGCCGCGGUAAUACGGAGGGUGCAAGCGUUGAUCGGAAUUUGUGGGCGUAAAGAGUUCGUAGGCGGGUAAAAGCCCCGGGCUUAACCUGGGAACUGCAUUUGAUACUGGGUAACUCGAGUUUAGUAGAGGAGAGUGGAAUUUCAGGUGUAGCGGUGAAAUGCGUAGAGAUCUGAAGGAACACCAGUGGCGAAGGCGACUCUCUGGACUAAAACUGACGCUGAGGUACGAAAGCGUGGGUAGCAAACAGGAUUAGAUACCCCAGUAGUC